UAUAGAACAUUUAAAUCACUUUACAAUUAUGACGUUUACGUGCCAAGGACCUAUUAUUUAUAAAAAUGAUCUGAGUUGUAUUGUAGAUUUAAAAAACGAUUUUAACAGGAUAAAAAUCAAAACACGGUAUUUGGCAUAAUUUCCUCCGUUCUUCAAUAGCUACAACUGUUUACACUGUUUUUGGAUUUUUUGGGAAGUAAAUAAUAUAUCAGUUCACAAUUAAAAACAACGUUAAUAGAUAUUUAAGGCAACACUUAAACAAACACAGGGAAAGAUGUCCAUGACAGUACAAAUAUGGUGAACAACAAUGCCAAGCAUUUUUUGCUAUUAUUGCUGUCUGGGUACAUAGUACUGGGUUUAUAUUAUGUAACCUUAAGCAAUGGAAACUAUACAGAACAGAAUGAUACUUACAUGACCAAUGUACGCAAUCAACGGAAUACUGUGUCAGAGAUGCUGAAUAAACUGAGCAAAAAGAUGGGGAAACUUCAGUGUGAGAGGCGAAGGCCCACAGUUGAAGGAGGGGGAUAUUGUAAACGAGGUGGGCAUAGUGGAGCAGAUAAAACACUUCUGCCUGCAUUGUCCAAUUUUUUGCAAGGAAAAACUGUUGCAAGCUUCGGAGACGGAACUGGACAGUAUAAAAACGAGCUUCUAAAACUAGGAAAUAUAAAAUCAUAUGAUUCAUACGAUGGUGGACCAUUUUCUGAAGAGGAGAGCAAGGGGAAUGUUAAAUUUAUGGACCUUACAAUUCCUCAAUAUGGACUACCAGUGUAUGAUUGGGUUAUUUCAAUUGAAGUAGCCGAACAUAUACCAAAGCAAUACGAGGGUAUAUUUUUGGACAAUAUAUUCAGACAUGCAAAAGAAGGUGUGAUUUUAAGUUGGGCUGUUCCUGGACAAGGAGGUUUAAAUCAUGUAAACAAUAGACCAAUUACCUACGUAGUUAAGGUUAUGAGUAGCAGCGGAUUUCAACUUGACGAAAAUUCUUCUCAACUUUUACAAAAUUCUUGCACAUUUAAACAUCUGAAACGUAACCUCUACGUUUAUAAGCGAAAUGUACUUAUGGAAUAUCAAGAUUUGUAUGCAUAGCCUAAUACAUGUAUUGAUUCGGGACUGUUUGAUGCUAAAUGUUAGUCAUUUACAUGUUUUAAAAGGUAGAAAAAAGUCCCGAAAAUCACAAAAUUAUAGUACCACGUUCAGCCUCUGGACAGUAGCGGAUGUAUUAGUUUUGUUAGAAUUAUCAUAAGUUGUUUUUGGAGGACGCCUUAUUUCAUUUUUCAGGUUAAAAAUGGCAAAUAUAGGGAUGAUAAAACUA